rnacentral:rRNA from 1 species
UACGUAGGGGGCAAGCGUUGUCCGGAUUUAUUGGGCGUAAAGAGCGUGUAGGCGGCCAGGUAGGUCUGCUGUGAAAACUCGAGGCUCAACCUCGAGACGUCGGCGGAAACCAUCUGGCUAGAGUCCGGAAGAGGAGAGUGGAAUUCCUGGUGUAGCGGUGAAAUGCGCAGAUAUCAGGAAGAACACCCGUGGCGAAGGCGGCUCUCUGGGACGGUACUGGCGCUGAGACGCGAAAGCGUGGGGAGCGAACAGG